rnacentral:rRNA from 1 species
CACCGCCCGUCACGUCAUGGGAGUGGAUGGUACCAGAAGCGAGUAGCCCAACCUUAGGGGAGGCGCUUGCCACGGUAUGAUUCAUGACUGGGACG